CGUGUGGUUCUAUUUUGUUGGUUAUGGGACCGCCGUAAUGAUUAAUAGGGACAGUCGGGGGCAUCAGUAUUCAAUUGUCAGAGGUGAAAUUCUUGGAUUUAUUGAAGACUAACUACUGCGAAAGCAUUUGCCAAGGAUGUUUUCAUUAAUCAGGAACGAAAGUUAGGGGAUCGAAGACGAUCAGAUACCGUCGUAGUCUUAACCAUAAACUAUGCCGACUAGGGAUCGGGCGAUGUUACUUUUUGACUCGCUCGGCACCUUACGAGAAAUCAAAGUUUGUGGGUUCCUGGGGGAGUAUGGUGGCAACGCUGAAACUUAAAGAAAUUGACGGAAGGGCACCACCAGGGGUGGAGCCUGCGGCUUAAUUUGACUCAACACGGGGAAACUCAC
rnacentral:rRNA from 1 species